ensembl:misc_RNA Metazoa_SRP Metazoan signal recognition particle RNA
GCUGGGCAUGGUGGCAUGUGCCUGUAGUCCUAGCUACUUGGGAGGCUGAGGUGGGAGGAUCGCUUGAGCCCAGGAGGUCAGGGCUGCAGGGGGCCAUAAUCAUGCCUGUGCACCCCAGCCUGGGUGACAGAGUGAGACCCUGUCUCAA